UACGUAGGGGGCAAGCGUUGUCCGGAUUUAUUGGGCGUAAAGAGCGUGUAGGCGGCCAUACAGGUCAGCUGUGAAAACUCGAGGCUCAACCUCGAGACGUCGGUUGAAACCGUAUGGCUAGAGUCCGGAAAGAGGAGAGUGGAAUUCCCGGUGUAGCAGUGAAAUGCGUAGAGAUCGGGAGGAACAUCAGUUGCGAAGGCGGCUCUCUGGACCAGCACUGACACUGAGGCACGAAAGCGUGGGGAGCAAACAG
rnacentral:rRNA from 1 species